UACGGAGGGAGCUAGCGUUGUUCGGGAUUACUGGGCGUAAAGCGCACGUAGGCGGCUAUUCAAGUCGGGGGUGAAAGCCCGGGGCUCAACCCCGGAACUGCCCUCGAAACUAGAUAGCUAGAAUCUUGGAGAGGCGAGUGGAAUUCCGAGUGUAGAGGUGAAAUUCGUAGAUAUUCGGAAGAACACCAGUGGCGAAGGCGGCUCACUGGACCGUUGUUGACGCUGAGGUGCGAAAGCGUGGGGAGCAAACAGG
rnacentral:rRNA from 1 species